UACGUAGGGUGCAAGCGUUUGUCCGGAAUUAUUGGGCGUAAAGAGCUCGUAGGCGGUUUGUUGCGUCGGCUGUGAAAUCCCGAGGCUCAACCUCGGGUCUGCAGUCGAUACGAGCAAACUAGAGUGUUGCAGGGGAGACUGGAAUUCCUGGUGUAGUGGUGAAAUGCGCAGAUAUCAGGAGGAACACCGGUGGCGAAGGCGACUUUCUGGU
rnacentral:rRNA from 1 species